rnacentral:misc_RNA from 1 species
CUAUCGCGAAUUAUCAGAAAAAUUUUUUUGUAUUUACCUUUAUUCGAUUGGGUCAACUGGCACAGUGUAGACGCGGGGGCCAGAGUUGUUUUCUUCAGUUUUUUUCUUUCGCAUAAUCUGCACAUCAUCAGGCACCAUGUCCAUGCGACAAGGGGAAAGUGAGGCGGAUGUAGUCCCAAAGUCUAAGCGACCUUCAGACUCGGCCUUCAAGCAACAACGGCUGCCCGCCUGGCAACCCGUCCUCACCGCGCGCACGGUAUUGCCGACAUUCUUUGUGAUUGGAGUGCUGUUCGUACCGAUUGGCGUGGUGCUGCUGCACCUCUCCAAUACCGCCAACGAGCUGAUCAUUGACUACACCCGCUGCACCUCAUCGGGUGGCAUUACCUGUGCGGACUACCUGCAGGAGAACCCGGGAAAGCAGUGCAACUGCGCCAUCAAUUUCACUCUGACCUCCGACUUUAACGGCGACGUAUACAUGUAUUAUGGCCUGACAAACUACUAUCAAAACCAUCGGCGCUAUGUGAAGUCGCGCGAUGACCUGCAGCUGCUCGGACAACUGUCUCAGACGCCCAGCACGGAUUGUGCCCCCUUUGCUUAUCACCCCGUGACUAUGGAACCCAUCGCGCCAUGUGGCGCUAUAGCCAACUCUUUGUUCAAUGACACGCUCAAACUGGCGCAGGGCGGUGUGGAUAUCAAGCUUUUGAACACGGGCAUUGCAUGGCCUUCCGAUAAGCGGGUCAAGUUCCGGAAUCCCGAAGGCAACCUCACAUUGGCCCUCAAGGGCUUCGCCAAGCCAAUCUUCUGGCAGCAUGAACUUUACGAUCUGGACAAGGAGAAUGCGGAGAAUAAUGGUUUCCAGAAUGAGGAUCUGAUUGUGUGGAUGCGCACAGCGGCCUUGCCCAGCUUCCGCAAGCUCUAUCGUCGCCUCGACCAGACGAACAACAAUUAUGCCAAAGGCCUAAAGGCCGGGGAGUAUACCCUCAACGUUGAAUACCGAUAUCCGGUAGUCUCGUUUGAUGGCACCAAGCGCAUGAUUAUAUCCACCACAUCUGUGCUGGGUGGCAAGAAUCCAUUCCUAGGCAUUGCCUACAUCGUUGUUGGCGCCAUUUGCAUAACCCUGGGCCUGGGCCUACUCCUGAUCCAUAUGCGCUGCAGUCGCAGAAUUGACUUAGAGUAGGAGGAGCUCUUGUACAUACCCACACCAUCCAUAACCAUUUGAAGCUUCAUAUCUUUACCCUGGGAGUGCGCGAUAAGUAUCAACAGCAACAUGGAGAUGAUCAACGUGAAUCCACAUACGCAGUACUCCUAGAUGCAUCGAUGACAUCAUUUCCGGCUGCCUCACUUAGCUUUAGACCAAUCUGCUUAAGCCUUAUAAGCAUAAAGUCAUUUCUAUUUAUCAAUUUAUAUUUGUGUACUCUGCGACUCUUGUUCUUUUUUUUUCUUCUAUUUUUCUGUUUUACUCGGCUAUCCACUGAACAACCCUUUCUGUUUGUGUGCGCAUGAAGCCACCAUCCAAAGAAUUGGCUCUGGCCAUUUGUUAAUUGUAUUUAUUAUCUGUAUGAGCUUUUGUGAUGUUUGUUAAUGUCUUCUACCGAACGAAUUCAUAUACUUUUCUAUAUCCCCCCACCCCCAAUCGCAUUGGAAAGUUACUGCCAAGUAUUAUCUUAGUCGCUUGUGCUCUGAUCUGAUCUGUAAUAA